CGUUCGUCCUCCUCCUCGUCCACCUCCGACCAACUCCAACAAUCGCCAACCACCUCGAACAACCACCGAUAACCACCUCGGGUUGUACCUGGAACAGCAAUGAAUAUUUUCAGUAUAAGAAAAGAUCGAAAACAUUACGUAAGGAUUCAUAUAAUCACAGGUUCUGGUUUUUUGGCUGUAACUUCUGAUGCGUUGAUCGCAGCGUAUUGGGACUGCGCCCAAUCGAAUUCUCUCGUAAAAUUAGGUCGGAAUAAUGCAUGAAAUAAUUUAUUCCAGCACUUUACAAAGUGUUGAAAAU
rnacentral:lncRNA from 1 species